UUGCCCUCAGAUCAAGGGAGACAUUGACAGGAGAAGGAAGCCAAGGUCAGAGCUUCUGCAAGAGCAGACUGGGACUACUAGCCUUGGGUGAAGCUGACUGACAGAGGAAGAGCUCUGGAUGUGGGAGAACUGGACCAAAGGGAGAGGUUAGCCAGUGAUGAUAAAGGGUCUGAUUCUGAUCUUAUGCUGGUGUAAAUCAAGCGUGACUCCACUGAAGAGGUGAAGGCAGCAGUCCUGUAUCCAGAGAGAAACAGAUUCCUCACUGAUCUGAUUGGGUUUCAGACAAUUUCAUUCACUGACAUUCUCGGUAUGUUGGAGGGCUUGGUGCUGCUACCUGGAAUUUGGAUGUGUGCUCCUGAUUACUAAAAUCAAGUGGGAUC